CUAGUGUGGCCGGGAGUCAGCAGGGUGGCAGCAGUGGGAGGUCGGGAGACAAACAUGCCAGGGGUAGACCACACACUUCUCAGGAGCCUACCGGCCCAGAAAGUAGUGGUGAAGGAGUUCACGGAGGCAGCAGUCACUCUGUG